CUCCGAUCUCUGCGCGCACACGCCGAUUCUCUUCGCAGUUCGCACGCCGCCGAAGCCGGCCAGGCGGCGACGACGGUCCGACAGCCACACCCUCUCCUACUCCGGCGAGGUUUCGCUCUUCUAACUUCUAAGAAGGGGUAAUGGAGGAAGAACAGGCACCGAAUCUUCCAUUAGACAUCAUCUACCAGAUCCCGAAAUACAUAUCCGAUCCAGCAUCGCUAGCACGCUCUGCUUCGUCCUGCAAGUUAUGGCGUGUGGUGUUAUAAAGGACCCUGCCUUUCUCGAUGGCCUCAAGACACGGCACCUCCACCAUGGUUUCACCUCCUCCCUCCUCCUUGGCUUCUUCUAUCAGGACAGUGCCGAGGCUCCCGAGUACUUGUCGCAGCAUCACUUUGACAAAACUCGUUGCAUGGCACCGAGCUUCACACCCACGUCAGAAUUGCUACCAGUCACUGGCCGCAAAGAGGGCUACAAUUCAGCCAGACCACUGUCCCUUAGCACCUUUAUUCAGGGUAUUGGUUCAAGCCUCAAUUUUUAUGAGCCUGUUGCAUCCCAGGACAGCUUCCUGGUCCUCUGCCGUCACUCAAAAGACUCUGAAGGUCAUUGCAGGGCCGAUAAGGUACGCGUCUGCAAUCCUCUCACUGGUGAAGUGUUUCAUCUACCUGACCUUCCAUACGAACCACCUACCACUAUGCCUUGCUUGUCGCCGACGAUAACAGCCUGGAUGGGCGCAUGACCCAAUCCUUCCAGCUGGUUGCCAUCUGGGUCAAAGGAAAAAGAUUCAUCUAUAUCUACUACUGUUCAAAGACCAGAUCGUGGUGGCCUGCAAGCUUUCCUGAACUAAUGGCUGGCCUUUACCUAGUGUCAACCCCAGCUGCUGCUUCCCAUGGUAAGAUUCAUUGGCUCUGCGGGUGCUGGAAAAGCUGGUCGCUCAGUCAUGUUGUCUCGCUGCAUGUGGACGGAGAAGAGCUGUCCUACCUGGAGCUCCCGUCUGAAGUAAAGCGCAACAAGACACCGCUGCUAGGGAAUUCUGCAGAUGGGGGCCUUCUGUUGCUGCUCAUGAAGGGUCUGCACAUGUCACUGUGGAAGCAUAAAAGUGAGCCUGGCAAUGGUAGCAGUGACUGGGUUCAUUCUGAAACGAUCGACAUGACAAGUUCCUUGCCAAUGCGGGUGCUAAAGAUGCAUGCCAGUGCAAAGGUCAGAUUGGAGAUUUUCCGUGGGAAGAGUGGUGCGGUGGUCCUCUGGAUUGAGGGGGAGGGUCUCUUCUUGUUCAGCCUCAGCGAUCGGUCGUUGAGGAAGAUUGACAAUGAAAUGUUACAAAGAAGUAUCGCUUCUGCCCGUACGAGAUCGAUUGGCUAUCUUGCCUUGCAGUCAUAAACCUUGUUAUUGAUGGUUUGCUGCCACUUGAUGCGGAAAGGGAAAAGGCUCAACGCAGAUGGAGGACUUUGGUGGCAAAGAAUAUACCAAAAAAAGCAUCAAGGCCUGAGUUAAAGAUGGUCCUCUAGUGGCAUGUCGACAUGGUUUCUGAAUUUCAUUUCCAAUUGACGUUGUUUCUGAAUUUCAUUUCCAGUUGACGUCGUACUUUUGUUACGAUUAUCGUUUAUUGUGACGACUAGCAGUUUGAAAUCAAAUCCAUGUAUUCCUGGUACAAUUAGAUCCAAUCACGGUGCUGUGACAGUAAGUAUCCAAGUGUUGCAAUCGUCGUUCAUGGUUAA